GAUGAACGCUGGCGGCGUGCCUAAUACAUGCAAGUCGAGCGAACGGACGAGAAGCUUGCUUCUCUGAUGUUAGCGGCGGACGGGUGAGUAACACGUGGAUAACCUACCUAUAAGACUGGGAUAACUUCGGGAAACCGGAGCUAAUACCGGAUAAUAUUUUGAACCGCAUGAUUCAAAAGUGAAAGACGGUCUUGCUGUCACUUAUAGAUGGAUCCGCGCUGCAUUAGCUAGUUGGUAAGGUAACGGCUUACCAAGGCAACGAUGCAUAGCCGACCUGAGAGGGUGAUCGGCCACACUGGAACUGAGACACGGUCCAGACUCCUACGGGAGGCAGCAGUAGGGAAUCUUCCGCAAUGGGCGAAAGCCUGACGGAGCCACGCCGCGUGAGUGAUGAAGGUCUUCGGAUCGUAAAACUCUGUUAUUAGGGAAGAACAUAUGUGUAAGUAACUGUGCACAUCUUGACGGUACCUAAUCAGAAAGCCCCGGCUAACUACGUG
rnacentral:rRNA from 1 species